rnacentral:rRNA from 1 species
AUGAGUAACUUUUUGUCUCAUAUCCUUAACCUAAAAAGAAUUUUACCCGCAAGAAACGUGGGUAAUGGGUACCCACUGUCAUCCCUAUUCACGGCACAAUGCACAAAAUGUCCAGACAUCACGGUCCCAACAUUUAGGGCCGGUUUGGUGAUAUCCUCCGUGGUCCGUGCAAGCUCGUUCCACUCACCGGUCACCACACACACUCGUCACAGGAAAAUUUGUGGCGUGAGAAGCUGGGCCGAGCAGAGGAUGGACGGACGCAGAGCAGCACCGCCGCCGGCGUCGCGGAUUAGUGGCUGGCACGCCGAGGACGAGUCCGAGCUGGGCGAGGAGGAGCUCGGUGUCUUCACCGCCGAGCGCUACUUCAACGGCGCCCUCGGCGCCGAGGAGGCUUUGUGGUGCGACCGCUCGUCGUCGUCGUUCUCGUCCGCGUUCAAGACAUGGCAGCACGACGGGUCUGCCCCGACGCCGACGGCUGCCACCAGCUCGUCGGAGGCCAGCUGGAACAGCCGCUCUGCGCUUCUGCCUAACCGUCCGGCGAUGGCAGUCCCCUCGCCCGUUGAGGGCAAGCCGGAUUCCAGGACAGAGAGUGAUCAGACCGGAAGAAAGGCACGCUCGUCGUCAUCUCACCUGCGACGUUGGCUUCUCGGCAUGGCAGGGCGCGCCUGCGCCUGGGGCGACGGCGAGGAGUCUGUGGGCACCGACGACCCGAGCCGGCAUGAAUUGGAGUCCGGCUCUGUUCACGGUGGCCAGAAACGCAGCCCCGAAGCGGAUGCGGCGCUACCAAGAAUGACGAGCAAGCAGACCGCCGUGGAGGACGGCACCACGGCGAGGGUGAUGUCUGGCAAGAGGGCCGACGACGGCGCCGCACCACCUACCCUGCUGGUCGCGGAAGCUACGCACAGACGAGCUGCAAACUCCGGCGAAUUGCCCAUGAGGAUGCUGGAUCCGGCGGCGAACGCGUCGUACAAGUACAACGACCGGCUCCGGCGGGAAUCUUUGGAUAUGUUUCACCAGGCAGGCCAAGGCUCUGCCAUCACAAUCGUGGCUGGAAGCACGGCGCGGGGUGGUGCCGCAACUGCAAGUGCAGGCAGCGGUGCUAGAGGAAGCCCCGACACACCAAGCAGGAGGCGCGACUCCGGCGAUCUCGAGAGCGUGUGCCCGCCGAGCGAGGCGAGCGUGGUGUGGAGCGUGGUCACCGCGGAAGGCGCCGCGUCCGGCAACUUCUCCAGCGCGGCCUCUGGAUGCCACUAUUACUUCAACGACGGCGACGGAGAGACGACGCGGCACGCGGCGGCAGGAGGAAAGAUCAACCGGAGGAGACGAAGCAACGGCGGCGGCUUGCUGAUGGGCUGUAUGUCCAAGAGGGCCGUCGACGCCGUCGGCUCCGCCUCGGACGUGCGUCUACCGGCCGGAGGUAGAGCCGGCGCCGGUGGCGAGGUGAACGGCCGAGACGUGACGCGCCGCCGGUAG